rnacentral:rRNA from 1 species
UACGUAGGGGGCUAGCGUUGCUCGGAUUGACUGGGCGUAAAGGGCGCGUAGGCGGUUUGCAUAGUCAGACGUGAAAUUCCUGGGCUUAACCUGGGGGCUGCGUUUGAUACAUGCAGGCUUGAGUUCGGAAGAGGGUCGUGGAAUUCCCAGUGUAGAGGUGAAAUUCGUAGAUAUUGGGAAGAACACCGGUGGCGAAGGCGGCGACCUGGUCCGAUACUGACGCUGAGGCGCGAAAGCGUGGGGAGCGAUCCGG